GGCACUGUAGCUUUGUGGAUAAAGCGCCUGUCGCGUAAAUAGGAGAUCCGCAGUUCAAAUCUGGGUAGUGCCU
rnacentral:tRNA from 1 species